rnacentral:rRNA from 1 species
GAUGAACGCUGGCGGCGUGCCUAAUACAUGCAAGUCGAGCGGUAACACUUCGGGUGACGAGCGGCGGACGGCUGAGUAACGCGUAGGAAUGUACCCCAGAGUGAGGGAUAAGCACCGGAAACGGUGUCUAAUACCGCAUAACCUCUUCGGAGAAAAGCUUCGGCGCUUUGGGAACAGCCUGCGUAUGAUUAGCUUGUUGGUGAGGUAAAAGCUCACCAAGGCGACGAUCAGUAGCUGGUCUGAGAGGAUGAUCAGCCACAUUGGGACUGAGACACGGCCCAAACUCCUACGGGAGGCAGCAGUGGGGAAUAUUGGACAAUGGGGGCAACCCUGAUCCAGCCAUGCCGCGUGAGUGAUGAAGGCCCUAGGGUUGUAAAGCUCUUUUGUGCGGGAAGAUAAUGACGGUACCGCAAGAAUAAGCCCCGGCUAACUUCGUGCCAGCCGCCGCGGUAA